CCUACGGGGGGCAGCAGUAGGGAAUCUUCCACAAUGGGCGAAAGCCUGAUGGAGCAACGCCGCGUGGGUGAAGAAGGUCUUCGGAUCGUAAAACCCUGUUGUUAGAGAAGAAAGUGCGUGAGAGUAACUGUUCACGUUUCGACGGUAUCUAACCAGCAAGCCACGGCUAACUACGUGCCAGCAGCCGCGGUAAUACGUAGGUGGCAAGCGUUAUCCGGAUUUAUUGGGCGUAAAGGGAACGCAGGCGGUCUUUUAAGUCUGAUGUGAAAGCCUUCGGCUUAACCGGAGUAGUGCAUUGGAAACUGGGAGACUUGAGUGUAGAAGAGGAGGGUGGAACUCUAGGUGUAGCGGUGAAAUGCGUAGAGAUAUGGAAGAACACUAGUGGCGAAAGCGGCUUUCUGGUCUGUAACUGACGCUGAGGUUCGAAAGCGUGGGUAGCAAACAGGAUUAGAUACCCGAGUAGUC
rnacentral:rRNA from 1 species